rnacentral:misc_RNA from 1 species
GAAGGAUCAUUAAAAAAAAAAAAGACAAGAGCCGCCGGGAAGCUGGUGCGCUCGAGUUUUAAACCCUCUGUGUACCUUUACCACUGUUGCUUCCCGUCUGGGUUCUGCCUGGGCGGGGAGGUUCAACCAAACUCUUGUUUUUUUUGUUGCAGUCAGUAUGAGCGGCUUGUCCGCGAUAAAUUAAAAGUUAAAACUUUCAACAACGGAUCUCUUGGUUCUCGCAUCGAUGAAAAACGCAGCGAAAUGCGAUAAGUAGUGUGAAUUGCAAAAUUCAGUGAAUCAUCGAAUCUUUGAACGCACAUUGCGCCCUCUGGCAUUCCGGAGGGCAUGCCUGUCCGAGCGUCAUUAAACCCCUCAAACAUCUUUUUUGUUUGGUCAUGGCGGAAGAUCGUCCUCGCGGCGUUCCCCGCUCAAAGAAAUCUGGCGGAAAGCCUGGUCUUCGUGGACGUAGUAAGUUUAUUCCCUUCGUCUCCCGAGCGGUCCAGUUAUCCAGCCGUCAACCCAUACUUCUAGUUUUUCCUCGGAUCAGGUAGGGAUACCCGCUGAACU